AGUACCCUGAAAGACCACCCAGGUGCUUCAUAUGGCUGUUGUCUUGCUAUUAAAUAGGUCCAUUACACAAGCUGGAGCACAUUACACCAGCAGACUAAUUCACCCGCCAGCAUAGCAAGGCAAUGAUCCACGGAUCAUUAUUGACUUUUCUGUGUAACUCCUGGCAUCAAAUUCGAUGUGCAUCAAAAUCCAAAGGCCACAGGGAAAUGCAAAUCGAAACCGCAGCGAGGGGCCACCUCACACCCCUGAGGAUGACCAUCAUCCAAAAGACAGACAAUAACAAGUGUUGGUGAGGAUGUGGAGAAACCGGAGCCCUUAUCUACUGCUGGUGGGAAUGCAAAGUGGUACGGGAUCUACGGAAAACCGUGUGGACGUCUCUUAGAUGGUUAACUUCAGGGUUAGCGUAUGGACCCGGCAAUUUCACUCCUAAGUAUAUAUCCAAAAGAAAUGAAAACAUAUGUGCAUGCCAAAACUUGUAUACAGAUGUUCAUAACAGCAUUCAUCAUAAUAGCCAAAGUGUGGAAACGCACCGAACGUCCAUAAAACAGUGAAUGGAUACAUAAAAUGUGGUACAUUCAUAAAAUGGAAUAUUUUUUGGCAAUAAAAAUGAAGUACUGAUA